rnacentral:lncRNA from 1 species
AUUCGAAUAUGCUGUCUUGUAAUUACACUAAUUCAUGGGUUUGGGAUGAAAUUGACAUUUUGAGGGUAGUAUCUCUUGUAGUAGUAAACUCAGCAUGUCAGAACUCACAGCUGAAUAUGCAAAACAGCAACAGUGCUGAACAAAAUCUGGGAUCUGUGGAACAGUCAGUUUCUUAAGAUGCAAAUGAUAGGACAAUUCUGGCUAACCAAACCAAAAGCAGAUUUCAACAGAGAGCUAAUCAGGAAGUCAUGGGAUAGAUGGGAGGCAGAAGGGACAAUACCAGACACAAGACAGGAAUGAGGUCAGUUCCUGGAGUACACAUAGCAAGAACCACUUCAGGAUCUUGUCUCGGUGCUGCUGUUCCAAUGUAUGCAUUCCAGUUUUUUCCCAACCUGUGUGUCUCUACUCAAGAUGAAGAGUUCCAAGCAGCUAGACUGCCUAAUGUGUUCUGUGCACUCAUAGAUCUAUGGAACCUUGAAAGUUUGCAAAGUAUAAAGUAAUACAGUUUGGAAAAAAAUAAAACAUUCCAGAAGUCUAGUUGUCUUACCUUGGGUCAUAUGUGGCUCCUUGGUUUCAAUGGGAUGAGAUAUAUUGAUUUACACCCCUAACAAGACUGCCCACAAAGGGUAAGAGGAAAUUGAGUGUUCCUAGGAAGGGAGAAUUGUUGCUGGCUGACCCCCCCACCAAAAAAAAA